rnacentral:tRNA from 1 species
GCGGGGGUUCCCCUAGCCUGGUCAACGGGGAUAGGUUCAGGCCCUAUUGGCGUAGGCCUUCGUGGGUUCAAAUCCCACCCCCCGCACCA